UUUUGUCCAAUUCCCCAAUUUAACUCCUUCUCUUUCUUCGUGUAUCAUCAGCCCCUCGUUUUGUUCAAUCAACCGCAGCGCCUUCCCACCUUCGGCCUCCCUACUCUGCCGACCACACGACGCCUCUUACGAGCCGCCAACGGCGGUGUAAGGCUGCCACGCCUGCCUCUUCAGCGUGCAGCGGCGCAUGCGAUCCACGACAAACGCGUGAGUUCCGGCCACAGUACUUUGCGAACAGUGACGCUUCUACCCAAGAGCCUGACUGGUGGCGGUUCCCGGCGACGCCUCCGAGUAUGAACGGCAGUUUCUUCUUCCUUAUUCCAACGACCACUCGGCAGCAGCAGCAAACCAACGUGACCCACGUGAUUUUGGCGGUUUACAGCGAGUUUUCCUCGUUCCGACAAGGUUUAAGCCUAUUCAAACACUAAUAGACUGCAAGGUGUCGGGUUGUUUUGCAGCAUUCAGUAGAUUUUCUGAAACCCUAUUUCAUCGCCACAUCUUGCCCUCUUCAUCUACUAGGGAGUUGAGGUUGCAAAUUUCCUUCAAGAUUGAACGCUCAAGAUUAGAUAUGCCUUUAGUUUCUAAAUGACUGAGAAUUUUCAAUUGGAGCAUUGGUGAGGAAAUUCCUUCUUUUGAUUCAAGUAACCAGAAAACUUGCAAGUUGUCAUAAUGGGCAAACCAGUCUCUCGGUCGGAUUCAAAAUCUAAAGCUGAACGCAAAUUUGAAAAGAAGGUCCAGUUUUAUGAGAGAGUUGGAGAAACUAUUUCUACCUUGAAUGCUCAAAAGACUAUUACUAAGAAGAAAAGCCAUCGAAGACGUAAAAGAGACUUGAAGGCUUUUGAUCUUUCUACCCUGUCCGAGUUUCUUCCUGGAUUGGAGGCGCCUAAACAAAAACCAUCUGCAGCCGAGUUAAAACUAAAUUGCAAGUCUAGGCUAAAGUUUAUAUUGAAGGAGAGAAAGCAAAUGGGUACUGUUCUUAAUCACCCUGUAUUUCAGGCAGACCCAUUGAGAGCUAUUCAACUACAUUUAGAGGGCACACAACCAAUUGAGGAACCAAAGAAAAAGACGAACAAAAAUGGGAGCAAGAAAAGGAAAGAGAAGAAGUCGAAAGCCUCUCCAAGACCUUCGUCUAUGGAGAUGUGACUAAUUUUUCACAGGCUUUGUUUUGCCAUCUAAGCCGCUUGCUGAUCUCAAUUGAGCUCUAAAGUCCUCCGAAUCGGAUCUGCUGAUCUCAAUUGAGCUCUAAAGUCCUCCGAAUCGGAUCUGGUAGAUUUUUUGUUUUUGAGCUUUGUUUUGCCAUCUAAGUCGCUUGGUAAAUGCUUUCAUGCUCAUUUUAAUUUGUGAAAUCAACUUGUUUUUGUUAUAAUUAACAGCUGAUCUCAAUUGAGCUCUAAAGUCCUCCGAAUUGGAUCUGUAGAUGAUUUUGUUUUUGAGCUUUGUUUUGCCAUCUAAGCCCUUGGUAAAUGCUUUCAUGCUCAUUUUAAUUUGUGAAAUCAACUUGUUUUUGUUAUCAUUAACAACUGAUCUCAAUUGAGCUCUAAAGUCCUCCGAAUCGGAUCUGGUAGAUGAUUUUUGUUUUUGAGCUUUGUUUUGCCAUCUAAGCCGCUUGGUAAAUGCUUUCAUGUCAUUUUAAUUUGUGAAAUCAACUUGUUUUUGUUAUCAUUAA